ensembl:lncRNA
UUUUUUUGUUUGUGAUUUAUAUGUUUUCUAUGAAUAGCUUUUCUCCUGAAAUUAUCAUUUAACCAAUAAUUUUUAACUUACGUCAACUGUCCCUUUUUCUUUUUUUUCAUUUUACUCUUUUUUUAAAUAAAUAAAUAUAAUGUUUUCUCAAUUUUUUUUUUGAGACGGAAUUUUACUCUGUUGCCCAGGCUGGAGUGCAGUGGUGCGACCUCAGCUCACGGCAACCACCACCUCCUGGGUUCAAGCAAUUCUCCUGCCUCAGCCUCCCAAGUAGCUGGGAUUACAGGCAUGCACCACCAAGCCCAGAUAAUUUUUUUUUGUUUUUUUGUUUUUUUGUUUUUAGUAGAGAUGGGGUUUCACUAUGUUGAUCAGGCUGAUUUUAAACUCCUGACCUUAGGUGAUUCGCCUGCCUCCGCCUCCCAAAGUGCUGGAAUUACAGGUGUGAGCCACUGUACCCAGCCUCAAAAUUUUAAAAAAGAAAAAAUAGACUUAUAAUUAAAUUAAAGUUUUUGUCUUUUCCCAAAAGUAUAUAUGUUUCCUCUGGGGUCAAUAUUCUGUUUAAUUACCUUGGUCUUUCUCUUUUAUUUUGCUAUAUUAGUAAGGAUAAUUAAUGCUACCUGCUAUUACAAAUAAUCUCAAAAUUCUUAGUCCCUUAAUCCAGUGUAAGUUGUCUUGCUUUGCUUUCACCUCACGUAAAGGCCAGUUCCUGGUCAGAGAGUCCUACGGGGCAACUUUCCUAUAAGAGAUGACUCAGAGAUGCAGGGCACCACUACUCUAGGAUUCCCAUUAUUGCUGCAAAAAGUGAGAGAGGAGUAUCACAUGUAGGAGAUUUUGUGUUUCUGGCAAAGCCUGGGUGACUUACGUUUCUACUGCAUUCCCCUAUUUAGAAUUGGUCAUCAGGCCCAAUCUAGAUGCAAGGAUACUGGGAAAUGUAGUUUUUCUAUACUCCCCAGAGGAUGAUAAAAUGGUUUGAUAAAUCUAUAGAAUUGUCUUUGCCAGAGCCUUUUGCUUUUCUUUUUAAUCAAAUGUCUGCUGAUACUCAGUUGUCCAAUAUGAUUAUGAAUUUAGAAAUGUUGAUUAUUACCUGUAACUGACUAACAUUUCUUCUGAUACUAGUUUCCUUUUCCCUGCAUACAAAGACUGCAAGAUUUCUGUUUGUGGGUGUGGUAUGUGGACAGGCAGGCUAUACUCUAAGAUAAGCAAGCUGGCAGCCUGUGCCCUGAAAGCCAUUGCCCGUCUUAGGCUGAUAGUUUAUUCAGUCUCACUUUAUAGGCACUUUCCUUACACAUACUCAGGUGUGCGACGUGUGACUCAGCAGGCGUUGGACAUACAGUUCUUCAAUCAGUUGUCCUACUUUAAGCACUUUCUCAUGCUUUGACUACAUCUCUAAGAGUUUAUAGAAUGCUGUAAAAAUGACCCUGCCUCACCUGUUGCUUUCUCUUCUACCUGUAUUGAGCUAGGCUCUUUUCGCUCUGAUUUAUAUUAAGUCACCUUGGCCAUAGCCGUCUCUGGUCUUUCAGAAACUCAUGAAAUCUUAUUUAUUUAUUAUUAUUUUUUUGAGACGGAUUCUCGCUCUGUCGCCCAGGCUGGAGUGCAGUGGUGCGAUCUCAGCUCACGGCAAGCUCCGCCUCCUGGGUUCAAGGGAUUCUCCUGCCUCAGCCUCCCAAGCAGCUGGGACUACAGGUACCCGCCACCACGCCUGGCUAAUUUUUUUGUAUUUUUAGUAGAGACAGAGUUUCACUGUGUUAGCCAGGAUGGUCUCGAUCUCCUGACCUCGUGAUCUGCCCACCUCAGCCUUAAAAUCUUAUUUUGUUAAUAUUCUCCAUCCAGUAUUUGACAAUUAUGUUCUUUUCUUCUCUUUUAUACUUUUUCCUAUAACAUAUUUCUAUUCUUUAUUGCUUUUAUUUUGGAGUGAGGGGAGAUAAAUGAGUUUUUCUCAAGCUAUGAUCUUGAACUUAAAUUUUUCACUUAGCAUAAUAUGAUGUUCCAUACUAAUAAAACUAUUUUGCAUAUCAUUAAGUAAUAUUCUAAAGUAAGUUUUGAAAUAUGAAUAUUUAUAAUUUACUAUAAUUUACCUACUAAUUUCCUCUGGUUGAAUAUUUAUGUUAUUUCUGUAUUUUCUUUCUUCCUUCCUUCCUUCCUUCCUCUGUCCUUGCUUCCUUCCUUCCUAUUUUCCUUCCUUCCUUCCUUCCUUCCUUCCUUCCUUCCUCUCUCUUUCUUUCUUUCUUCUUUCUUUUCUUUCUUUCUUCUUUCUUUCC